rnacentral:rRNA from 1 species
UACGUAGGGAGCAAGCGUUGUCCGGAAUCAUUGGGCGUAAAGCGCGCGUAGGCGGCCCUGUAAGUCCGUUGUGAAAGUCAAAGGCUCAACCUUUGAAAGCCGAUGGAUACUGCAGGGCUAGAGUCCGGAAGAGGCGAGUGGAAUUCCUGGUGUAGCGGUGGAAUGCGCAGAUAUCGAGAGGAACACCUGCGGCGAAGGCGGGUUGCUGGGCCGACACUGACGCUGAUGCGCGAAAGCCAGGGGAGCGAACGGG